AACGUAGGAGACAAACGUUAUCCGGAGUUACUGGGCGUAAAGGGCGUGUAGGCGGUUAGUUAAGUCUGGCGUGAAAGCUCUCGGCUAAACCGGGAGAGGUCGUCGGAUACUGGCAAACUAGAGGAUGGUAGAGGCGUGUGGAAUUCCGAGUGUAGUGGUGAAAUGCGUAGAGAUCCGGAGGAACACCAGUGGCGAAGGCGACACGCUGGGCCAUACCUGACGCUAAAGCGCGACAGCAUGGGGAGCGAACGGG
rnacentral:rRNA from 1 species